rnacentral:tRNA from 1 species
UGCGGGGUGGAGCAGUAUGGUAGCUCGUGGGGCUCAUAAGCCGCAGGUAAGAGGUUCAAAUCCUAUCCCCGCUACCA